rnacentral:lncRNA from 1 species
GGUAUUCUAUAAGAUAUGUACUUCCUUUCCCCCUAGCGCCUAGGGAGGGUCCUUGACCGACGCUGGGUUGGCUACGUACCAGAAUCCCCUUAACUAGCAUUAUUUGCAUUGACAUUGCAUGUACCUGCAUUUUCAUUCAUAGGUUCAUAAUCAUUUUUCUCAUACAUCGGGUCGGGUCAUGCCCACUUUUCCCUCCACGACCACCUAGGCCCUACUAGCCCAG